AAUUUUUCCUUGAGGAAAAAAAAAAUAAAAAAUCUUAAACUAGGGUUUAUACACUCGUCCCGCUACCGUCUGGGUUUCUGGUUAGUCCCAUUUUAAUCUCCAGUCUUCACCUCUAACAAUUCAGCUCUCGAUAAUCUACCCUUGUUAAGCAAUGGGCAAGAAGAACAAAUUCAUAGACAAAAAGAGAUCGGCGACAUUCCAAUUACUCGCACGCGACUCAUCCGAUCCUAAUUAUAACGAAACACCAGGCGGAGACCGAGUUUUCGUCCGAGUGGACAACAAUAAUCAAUACUCUGUUGACACCUUCUUUCAUGAAGAUAACCCGGACGGUGAAGAUCCCAAUUCCAUUUUUGCCAAUGCUCCCGACGAUUUCGAUGAUGACGACGAUCAUAAUGUUAGGUUUUUGGGAAGUUCAAUGAAGUUUGGUGGUGGAGCCUCCUCUGCAGAUGCAGCACCGUUGCCUGAGCAUGUGAGGAAAGAGAUUUUGGAGCUAGGGUUUCCUGAUGACGGUUACAAUUAUUUGCUUCACUUGAGAGAGAUUAAAAACACUGGUGGUGGCUCUUAUUAUUAUCGUAAUCCUAAAGCUAGCUUUGAUCAGCUUCCUCAUGACGUCAAGGCAUAUGAUGCUUCGAGAGUGAGAGUAUCGGAAGUGAAACGUGAUGAUACAAAUGAUAAGUCAAUUUAUAGUGUAGCGUCAAAGACGGUUGGUGUGAAGGUACAGAAAGUAUUUGAUCCUGAAGUAGCUGCGUUGCUGGAUGAUAGUGAUUUGUCGCGGUUUGGUUCUGAUGUUGAGGACUUGGAGGAGGAUUUUGUUGUACGUGCAAAUGUCCCUGAGGAUGAUAAUGAUAAUAAGUUGAAUUUAAUUGAUCAAGCUAAUGAACAUGUGCCUGGCAAUCAAGAAGCUGCUGUAGAUAAUGUCAUUGUGGAGAAAGAAGAAAAGGAGGAAGUAGGUAAUGAUCUUCCUGGUGAGAAGCAGCGGGUUCGUCGUCUUCUUGAUGAGCAAUUUGAUUUGCUUGAAUGUCAAGAAUAUGGCACAGAUGACGAAGAUGAUGAUUAUGAUGGUUAUUAUGCUGAAGAAGAUGAAUCUCUUGCAAAUAGGCUCAACCUUGUCCUUAUCAACCGUGCAAUGGAUGACACGGAACUUAGUGAUAAAUAUGAAGUUCCGCCAAUGGAUGUCAUUCAUCGCUGUGUAGAAUAUGCACAAAAGUACGAAAAUGAGGAUGGUGAUGCAGACCUCGUUGUUGUAGAGGAAAGCAGUGAUGAAUCGGAACAGUGGGAUUGUGAGACUAUCGUCUCCACUUAUUCAAAUCUUGAUAACCAUCCUGCUAAAAUCGAAGCUCCAGGAACUGCUAGAAAGAAGAAGUUAGCUGAAACUGUCUCUGGAGCCUUGAAUGCCAAAGCUCAUGUGAUAACCCUUAGAGGAAAAGAAAAGCUUCCUGUAGAUUUCUUGCCUCGUGGUAGAAAGUCUGAUGCUGAAAAGAUGAAGAGUGUGCCUGAGUUAAAAGCUGAGCCACUGAAGAGGAAGCAACAUGGCCAGGAGUCAAAGGAAGAGAAGAAAGAGAGAAAGGCUGCUAUGAAGAAGGAAAGGAGUGAAGCUAGACGUAUGAAGAAAGAGGUUAAGGAACUCUACCGAGGCGAAGCGCAGCGUGCUCAGAGAGUUGCUGCUAUAGCUGGUCCAUCUUCAAUUCGCCUUUUGUAAGUGAAAACAUAAGAAAGAGAAAGUAACAUACAGAUGCAAACAGCAACCAGACAGCAAUGGUUUUUCCAUGCCUUCAACUCUUGCCUUAAUUACCUUCGAUAUGCAAUUUGAAGCUCCUCCGAUUGUUUCUUUCAACUCUUGAUCUUCAUCGCCUUUGGGGAACAGCAUAGGGCCAUUGACCAUUCUGGUCCUCCAUUUUUGCUGGGUGAUCUGGAGGUCGGCUGUUGCUUAAGUAAGCAGUAUGGUUGUCCUGGAUGAUGCUCUCAAUUGUUACCAAAGCCAACUAUACAAAAGCACUGUAUUCACUCAUUUUUAAGGAAGAAAAUGCUAAUUGAUUGCUUCGUCCUCCGUCUCCUGGCAAAGCAUAAAGUUAUUUUUGUCAUUCAAUUUGAGUAACCAAUUUUGCCGCUUUACUGUUGGAGAAGGCUAUUUUUGUAAUGUCAUACAUAGGUUGUUACUUGUUAGGCAUGUGAAUUCUGAAGCCUAUGGCUAUGAUAUUGGUUGAAAACGAUCAUAAUUUAACUUUCUUCCUAAUGCUAAGGUAUUGUCUGUUAUUCCCAAUGAGAAAUGAUAGUGCCUGCAUUUGAUGUGUUUGA